rnacentral:rRNA from 1 species
AUUGAACGCUGGCGGCAGGCCUAACACAUGCAAGUCGAGCGGAUGAAGAGAGCUUGCUCUCUGAUUUAGCGGCGGACGGGUGAGUAAUGCCUAGGAAUCUGCCUGGCAGUGGGGGAUAACGUUCCGAAAGGAACGCUAAUACCGCGUACGUCCUACGGGAGAAAGCAGGGGACCAUCGGGCCUUGCGCUAUUAGAUGAGCCUCGGUCGAAUUAGCGCGUUGGGGAGGUAAUGGCCCACCAAGGCGACAAUCCGUAACUGGGCGGAGAGGAUGAUCAGUCACACUGGAACUGAGACACGGUCCAGACUCCUACGGGAGGCAGCAGUGGGGAAUAUUGGACAAUGGGCGAAAGCCUGAUCCAGCCAUGCCGCGUGUGUGAAGAAGGUCUUCGGAUUGUAAAGCACUUUAAGUUGGGAGGAAGGGCAGUAAGUUAAUACCUCGCUGUUUUGACGUUACCGACAGAAUAAGCACCGGCUAACUUCGUGCCAGCAGCCGCGGUAACAC